AGCAGUCGCCACGGGAAUACGUAGGGUGCAAGCGUUAAUCGGAAUUACUGGGCGUAAAGCGUGCGCAGGCGGUUAUAUAAGACAGAUGUGAAAUCCCCGGGCUCAACCUGGGAACUGCAUUUGUGACUGUAUAGCUAGAGUACGGCAGAGGGGGAUGGAAUUCCGCGUGUAGCAGUGAAAUGCGUAGAUAUGCGGAGGAACACCGAUGGCGAAGGCAAUCCCCUGGGCCUGUACUGACGCUCAUGCACGAAAGCGUGGGGAGCAAACAGGAUUAGAUACCCGGGUAGUCCCUGUCUCUUAUAC
rnacentral:rRNA from 1 species